rnacentral:rRNA from 1 species
GACGAACGCUGGCGGCGUGCUUAACACAUGCAAGUCGAACGGAAAGGCCCUGCUUUUGUGGGGUGCUCGAGUGGCGAACGGGUGAGUAACACGUGAGUAACCUGCCCUUGACUUUGGGAUAACUUCAGGAAACUGGGGCUAAUACCGGAUAGGAGCUCCUGCUGCAUGGUGGGGGUUGGAAAGUUUCGGCGGUUGGGGAUGGACUCGCGGCUUAUCAGCUUGUUGGUGGGGUAGUGGCUUACCAAGGCUUUGACGGGUAGCCGGCCUGAGAGGGUGACCGGACAUAUGGGGAUUGAGACACCGCCGAGACUCCUACGGGAGGGCGCAGGGGGGAAUAUUGCAAAAGGGGGAGGCGUGUGACGCAGACACGGCGCGUGGGGGAUGAGGGUCUUGGGGUUGUACCCCGUUUUCGUGUGAGAAGAAGUGUGAGUGACGGUAAUGUGUAGAGACGCCCCGGAUAAACAUG